CAGUCGCCGCGGGAAUACAGAGGGUGCGAGCGUUAAUCGGAUUUACUGGGCGUAAAGCGUGCGUAGGCGGCUUCUUAAGUCGGAUGUGAAAUCCCUGAGCUUAACUUAGGAAUUGCAUUCGAUACUGGGAAGCUAGAGUAUGGGAGAGGAUGGUAGAAUUCCAGGUGUAGCGGUGAAAUGCGUAGAGAUCUGGAGGAAUAUCGAUGGCGAAGGCAGCCAUCUGGCCUAAUACUGACGCUGAGGUACGAAAGCAUGGGGAGCAAACAGGAUUAGAUACCCACGUAGUCCAUGUCUCUUAUAA
rnacentral:rRNA from 1 species